GCUUUUGGUUCAGUGGUAGAAUCGCCUGCCACGCGGGCGCCCCGGGUUCGAUUCCCGGCCAAUGCA
rnacentral:tRNA from 1 species